rnacentral:rRNA from 1 species
AGAGUUUGAUCCUGGCUCAGGACGAACGCUGGCGGCGUGCUUAACACAUGCAAGUCGAGCGAGGCCCUCUUUCGGGGGGUGCCCUAGCGGCGAACGGGUGAGUAACACGUGGGCAACCUGCCCUCAGCUUCGGGAUAACUCCAAGAAAUUGGUGCUAAUACCGGAUGUGACCCUGACCGCAUGGUCUGGUGGUGGAAAGAUUCAUCGGCUGGGGAUGGGCCCGCGGCCUAUCAGCUUGUUGGUGGGGUAAUGGCCUACCAAGGCGACGACGGGUAGCCGGCCUGAGAGGGUGACCGGCCACACUGGGACUGAGACACGGCCCAGACUCCUACGGGAGGCAGCAGUGGGGAAUAUUGCGCAAUGGGCGGAAGCCUGACGCAGCGACGCCGCGUGAGGGAUGACGGCCUUCGGGUUGUAAACCUCUUUCAGUAGGGACGAAGCGUAAGUGACGGUACCUACAGAAGAAGCACCGGCCAACUACGUGCCAGCAGCCGCGGUAAUACGUAGGGUGCAAGCGUUGUCCGGAAUUAUUGGGCGUAAAGAGCUCGUAGGCGGUCUGUCACGUCGGUUGUGAAAACCCGAGGCUCAACCUCGGGCCUGCAGUCGAUACGGGCAAACUGGAGUACUGCAGGGGAGACUGGAAUUCCUGGUGUAGCGGUGAAAUGCGCAGAUAUCAGGAGGAACACCGGUGGCGAAGGCGGGUCUCUGGGCAGUAACUGACGCUGAGGAGCGAAAGCGUGGGGAGCGAACAGGAUUAGAUACCCUAGUAGUCC